rnacentral:rRNA from 1 species
CCUACGGGUGGCAGCAGUAGGGAAUAUUCCACAAUGGGCGAAAGCCUGACGCAGCGACGCCGCGUGAGGGAUGAAGGUCUUCGGAUCGUAAACCUCUGUCAGCAGGGAAGAACGGUCGCUAUACUAAUCAACUGUGGAUUGACGGUACCUUCAAAGGAAGCGACGGCUAACUCCGUGCCAGCAGCCGCGGUAAUACGAAGGUUGCAAGCGUUAAUCGGAAUUACUGGGCGUAAAGCGGUCGUAGGCGGUAUGUCAAGUCAAGGGUGAAAUCCCCGGGCUCAACGUGGGAACGGCCUUGGAAACUGGCAAACUUGAGUGUGAGAGAGGUUAGUGGAAUUCCAGGUGGAGCAGUGAAAUGCGUAGAUAUAUGGAGGAACACCAGUGGCGAAGGCGACUAUCUGGUACAUAACUGACGCUGAGGAGCGAAAGCGUGGGUAGCAAACAGGAUUAGAUACCCCGGUAGUC